rnacentral:rRNA from 1 species
CCUACGGGAGGCAGCAGUGAGGAAUAUUGGUCAAUGGGCGUAAGCCUGAACCAGCCAAGUCGCGUGAGGGAUGAAGGUUCUAUGGAUCGUAAACCUCUUUUAUAAGGGAAUAAAAUGCGGUACUUGUCCCUUUUUCUAUGUACCUUAUGAAUAAGGAUCGGCUAACUCCGUGCCAGCAGCCGCGGUAAUACGGAGGGUCCGAGCGUUAUCCGGAUUUAUUGGGGUUAAAGGGUGCGUAGGCGGCCUUGUAAGUCAGCGGUAAAAGCCCGGGGCUCAACCCCGGCGAGCCGUUGAAACUGGCUGUCUUGAGAUGUCGAGAGGUAUGCGGAAUGCGUAGUGUAGCGGUGAAAUGCUUAGAUAUGGCGCAGAACUCCGAUUGCGAAGGCAGCAUACCGGCGGCGAUCUGACGCUGAGGCACGAAAGCGUGGGUAUCGAACAGGAUUAGAUACCCCUGUAGUC